AAAUGAUUGUUGGUUAGCAGAACAAGUAUUUCUCUAGCAGUGCAAGCAGACGUUUUCUUCCUGGUGACAUGUGAGAGUGGGUGGCACCCCUCGUUUUAUAGCCCUUCGCAGAUGCUGCAUUUUUUCAAGUGGAAGGGACUGCAAUGUUGAUGUGGCAGAAGUGCGUCAUCAACCAUCCUGAGGAAGCAACAUCUAUGAAAAUGGUGGAGUAGUGCCUGGGAAGAAAAUGAAG